ACGUAGGGGGCGAGCGUUGUUCGGAAUUACUGGGCGUAAAGAGAAGGGAGGCGGUUUUGUAAGUUUGUGGUGAAAGACCACGGCUUAACUGUGGGGCUGCGUGGAGAGACUACAAGGCUUGAGUUAGGGAGAGGUUAUUGGAAUUCCUAGGGUAGGGGUGAAAUCUGAUGAGAUCGGGAGGAAUACCUGUGGCGAAGGCGCCCUACUGGCACGUACCUGACGCUGAGUAACGAAAGUCUGGGGAUCGAACAG
rnacentral:rRNA from 1 species